rnacentral:misc_RNA from 1 species
UACGUAGGUGGCAAGCGUUGUCCGGAAUUAUUGGGCGUAAAGCGCGCGCAGGCGGUCCUUUAAGUCUGAUGUGAAAGCCCACGGCUCAAACGUGGAGGGUCAUGGGAAACUGGGAGACUUGAGUGCAGGAGAGGAAGGUGGAAUUCCACGUGUAGCGGUGAAAUGCGUAGAGAUGUGGAGGAACACCAGUGGCGAAGGCGACUUUCUGGCCUACAACUGACGCUGAGGCGCGAAAGCGUGGGGAGCAAACAGG